AGUGAACGCUGGCGGUAGGCCUAACACAUGCAAGUCGAACGGCAGCACAGUAAGAGCUUGCUCUUACGGGUGGCGAGUGGCGGACGGGUGAGGAAUACAUCGGAAUCUACUUUUUCGUGGGGGAUAACGUAGGGAAACUUACGCUAAUACCGCAUACGACCUACGGGUGAAAGCAGGGGAUCUUCGGACCUUGCGCGAUUGAAUGAGUCGAUGUCGGAUUAGCUAGUUGGCGGGGUAAAGGCCCACCAAGGCGACGAUCCGUAGCUGGUCUGAGAGGAUGAUCAGCCACACUGGAACUGAGACACGGUCCAGACUCCUACGGGAGGCAGCAGUGGGGAAUAUUGGACAAUGGGCGCAAGCCUGAUCCAGCUAUACCGCGUGGGUGAAGAAGGCCUUCGGGUUGUAAAGCCCUUUUGUUGGGAAAGAAAAGCAGCAGGUUAAUACCCCGCUGUUCUGACGGUACCCAAAGAAUAAGCACCGGCUAACUUCGUG
rnacentral:rRNA from 1 species